UAACCACUACCUAAGGUAGUGCUGAACGCACAGAAGUCAGCAGAGGUCAUGGUAGCCGAGAAGUGAAGGAC
rfam:Roseburia sp. 499 contig000014, whole genome shotgun sequence.